rnacentral:rRNA from 1 species
UACGAAGGGUGCAAGCGUUACUCGGAAUUACUGGGCGUAAAGCGUGCGUAGGUGGUUCGUUAAGUCUGAUGUGAAAGCCCUGGGCUCAACCUGGGAAUGGCAUUGGAAACUGGCGACCUAGAGUGCGGUAGAGGGGGGUGGAAUUCCGCGUGUAGCAGUGAAAUGCGUAGAGAUGCGGAGGAACACCGAUGGCGAAGGCAGCCCCCUGGGCUGACACUGACGCUCAGGCACGAAAGCGUGGGGAGCAAACAGG